UAACUGAAGAGUUUGAUCAUGGCUCAGAUUGAACGCUGGCGGCAGGCUUAACACAUGCAAGUCGAGCGGGGAGAUGUAGCUUGCUACAUCACCUAGCGGCGGACGGGUGAGUAAUGCUUAGGAAUCUACCUAUUAGUGGGGGACAACGUUUCGAAAGGGACGCUAAUACCGCAUACGCCCUACGGGGGAAAGCAGGGGCUCUUCGGACCUUGCGCUAAUAGAUGAGCCUAAGUCGGAUUAGCUAGUUGGUGGGGUAAAGGCCUACCAAGGCGACGAUCUGUAGCGGGUCUGAGAGGAUGAUCCGCCACACUGGGACUGAGACACGGCCCAGACUCCUACGGGAGGCAGCAGUGGGGAAUAUUGGACAAUGGGGGGAACCCUGAUCCAGCCAUGCCGCGUGUGUGAAGAAGGCCUUUUGGUUGUAAAGCACUUUAAGCGAGGAGGAGGCUACUUUGGUUAAUACCCAGAGAUAGUGGACGUUACUCGCAGAAUAAGCACCGGCUAACUCUGUGCCAGCAGCCGCGGUAAUACAGAGGGUGCGAGCGUUAAUCGGAUUUACUGGGCGUAAAGCGUGCGUAGGCGGCUGAUUAAGUCGGAUGUGAAAUCCCUGAGCUUAACUUAGGAAUUGCAUUCGAUACUGGUCAGCUAGAGUAUGGGAGAGGAUGGUAGAAUUCCAGGUGUAGCGGUGAAAUGCGUAGAGAUCUGGAGGAAUACCGAUGGCGAAGGCAGCCAUCUGGCCUAAUACUGACGCUGAGGUACGAAAGCAUGGGGAGCAAACAGGAUUAGAUACCCUGGUAGUCCAUGCCGUAAACGAUGUCUACUAGCCGUUGGGGCCUUUGAGGCUUUAGUGGCGCAGCUAACGCGAUAAGUAGACCGCCUGGGGAGUACGGUCGCAAGACUAAAACUCAAAUGAAUUGACGGGGGCCCGCACAAGCGGUGGAGCAUGUGGUUUAAUUCGAUGCAACGCGAAGAACCUUACCUGGUCUUGACAUAGUAAGAACUUUCCAGAGAUGGAUUGGUGCCUUCGGGAACUUACAUACAGGUGCUGCAUGGCUGUCGUCAGCUCGUGUCGUGAGAUGUUGGGUUAAGUCCCGCAACGAGCGCAACCCUUUUCCUUAUUUGCCAGCACUUCGGGUGGGAACUUUAAGGAUACUGCCAGUGACAAACUGGAGGAAGGCGGGGACGACGUCAAGUCAUCAUGGCCCUUACGACCAGGGCUACACACGUGCUACAAUGGUCGGUACAAAGGGUUGCUACCUCGCGAGAGGAUGCUAAUCUCAAAAAGCCGAUCGUAGUCCGGAUUGGAGUCUGCAACUCGACUCCAUGAAGUCGGAAUCGCUAGUAAUCGCGGAUCAGAAUGCCGCGGUGAAUACGUUCCCGGGCCUUGUACACACCGCCCGUCACACCAUGGGAGUUUGUUGCACCAGAAGUAGGUAGUCUAACCGCAAGGAGGACGCUUACCACGGUGUGGCAGAUGACUGGGGUGAAGUCGUAACAAGGUAGCCGUAGGGGAACCUGCGGCUGGAUCACCUCCUUA
rnacentral:rRNA from 1 species